AUUGCUUAACCUUUUGGCUAAGAUCAAGUACAGUAUCUGUCCUAAUUAGCUCAAUAUCUGAUAAUGUCUUCUAUCCUAGGACAAUAUAGGAAAUGGAUUUUUGGAAUUAGAAAAUGGAAUAGGAACUUACUUGUCUACUUCACGUAUCAACCUGGUAUUCCAUUACUUCCAGGAACAGUGCGCACACA
rnacentral:snRNA from 1 species